rnacentral:misc_RNA from 1 species
ACAAACUUGGUCAUUUAGAGGAAGUAAAAGUCGUAACAAGGUUUCCGUAGGUGAACCUGCGGAAGGAUCAUUACUGAAGAAAUGUUAGAGUUGAGCUAUCUCUUCGGAGUAUGUGCUCGCUUUAUCACUUUCCUCUUAUCCUCCUGUGCACUUUUGUAGGCUAUGAUAACUAUCAGUCUUUUGGGACUGGUUUGAGGUACUUGUGCGUUCAGUGCAUGUCCUUGUCUUCAUAGUCUAUGUUUUACAAACUACAAAGUCUAGAAUGUUGAUUGUUGGUCAAUGACCGAUAAAAUCUAUACAACUUUCAGCAACGGAUCUCUUGGCUCUCGCAUCGAUGAAGAACGCAGC